CUUUCCUCUUUCUCUCUCUGUCUUCCGCAAACUCUCUUCUCCAUCUUUUUCCCUCAAACCCUAAAAUUUCGCCGCCGACAACAACAACAAGCUUUCAUCAUUGUUUAGCCGUGAAACAACAACAAAAUUGACCUUCAUCUUCAAUCGCACACAACCAUUAAACCGAAAACCCCCUACAUUUAAACCGAAAACCCCUUACAUUGUUUCUUUCAGAACCGGAUAUGUACCAUAACGCACAAAAUGGGUCCAAAUCAAAAUGAAGAAGAUGCAUGGCUAUGAAAAAUUAGUGUGGAAGAAUUUGAUGGAAGAUAAGCCCACUCUAUAAAGAUAUGUUCGGUGGUGCGUAGAACGUGGAAGGCAUAUCAGUCUGACAAGAGAAGCUUGAUUUUGAAAUUGAUUGAUGCUUUGUGGAGACCUAUGGAACCAAUGGGAGGGAUGGAAUUAAUGAAGCACCUUCAGCAGAGGAUCUAACUCUAUUUUAUAGCAACAUCUCCCAUUGCACACAUCUCAAAGGUAAAAUCACCAACAAUUUUUCUAUUAGAUGCCCAAGAUCUCCGCGUCCCAAUAUCAACUAGACUGCAACUCAAAAGUGCAUAUGCCAUUGCAAAGUUAAGAAAAACAGGAUACUCAAAGAAUUAGUUCUACAAAGAGGCUAUCAGUAUGUAUAAGGAGGAAUCUCAGCUGAGACACAGGAAAUCAAUUUAGAAAUACUAAGACAUAAGGAAGUGAAUCAAAGAACCAAUGCUGUAAGAUUAACCAUACAUCCAAGAGCAGGAACUUCAUCUCUUCCAAAGCAAUUAUGGAAGUUGGUUAUUUUGUAUCAAACAUUAUUGAUUGCAUAUUUAGUUAGCAUCUCUGAAGUUUUCCUUUAAUGCUAUUUUUCCAUUUAGGUGAUUUCAGGCUGAGCUUGCUAGGGACAUGGGAUACACUGCUGCAAGAUUUGGGCAUGUUAUGUUCCCUGAAAAUGUUCAUGAGCCAGCCUUGAAUUGUGCUGAGCUUUUGCUUCAAGGCGUGGGGAAAAGUUAGUUUGAUAUUUUAUUACUUCAAUACUUGAACCAUUAAGUUUUUCAUCUAAUAGAAGUUUAUCACAUGGUUCCCAUUCUUAUUAGUUUUAAUGUUCGAUCUAAAUUCUGAUCUUAUGGUUGUUUGAUCUAUAAACGCUUUGGUUACAAAUUUGCCUUUCAGUUUAUUGCAGGGACAGCGAGGAGUUCUUUGCAGGGGCUGAGGCAGACUAUAUACCCUGCAGAGCCAACUUUUUUCCAUUUUUUAACCUUUCACCGCACAUAGCUUUUGGAAAAUUUGAACCACUGUAUUACUAAUUUACUACUCUAUUUUGAUAUGUUGAUUAGUAUAUUUUGAAUUAAUUGGACAGAGAAUCUAUGAAAAUCCAAUUGUGUGAUUAACAUGUUGAAAAUUCAAUUCAAUUCACUUACUGAGAUUAGUAUCUCUUGUAUUAAGCAGGGGUCAGUUUGCAUAGUUAAUGUAGUGAAAACGGCAUGAUUGUGUUUACACUUUGAAAAUUAUCAUACUUGGUAUUUUUAUUGAGGUGUUUUUCUGCCACUGUCAGGAAAGAGCAGCAGCAAUUGAAAAAGAAGCAGAGUGGCUUCUACAACAGCCGUCGAUGAAAAACCUCUUGGUAAAAUUGCAGAUGCGUUCAAAAAUGUGAUUGAGGCUGCUGCUUUUUCCGGGCCUUUGCUUUUGUGGCUCCUCUUUUUGUCAGCAUUGGCUCUCACUUCAACUUCAUUGAGAUGGAUUACCUCAACAAGGUUAAUGACAUAGCAGAGGCAUCAAAGUCUUUCAAGACAUUACUAUCUAUGGUUGAUCAUGAUGUACAAACUAAUUAUGUGAGAAUACAAGGAAGCCAUGAAUGAAAUCUUUUGAAAAUAAAACGUGGACUUGAAUUUCUCAAGGUGCUAUUUGAACAAGUUCUGCUCACAGAAAAGAGAUCCAAAGCACGUUACAGAUUAUCUUUGAACGUUAGAUUUGUUCAAUAUUUGGUGAGCUCCAAGACUCAUCUCAGAGGAAUAAAAAUAAAUAAAAGAGUGAAAGUGGAAAAUUGUAUGUCAGAAAAAGACCCCCACUUGCAAUUCCUGAAUGUUAGUGCAAAGUGUGGCUGGAUGGAGAAAGCUUAUGUGGACUAAUAGUGAUUUUAGAGUCAACAACCUCAACAAUGGGAAGUUCUAUGAGAGAUGCAGCUUCUUCUAAGGCUUAUACACAAAUAUUUAAUUCAUCUACAAGGGAGAAAGCGGUGUGUUUGUGUACAUCGGAGCAAUUGUGAUCAUUUGUUUGUUUUUAAUACAUGAGCCUAAUCUAUUUGUUUGUUAUUAAUACAUGAGCCUAAUCUAGGCAA